UCACUCACCUCAGGUUGAAUGUUUAAGAUAACGUCCUCCUUACAGUUUACAACUGCACAUUUAUGAAGAUAAUAAUGAGCUCUUUUUAUUUUCCCAUUGACUAUCAACCAUCGAGCGGACUCUGGAACCCACCUACAUCAGGAAAAUUGAGGAUUGUGCACAGAAGUAAAGGUGAAGUGACGACCACUGUUAACCAUCUCCAGUCUCUCACACAGAAUGCAAUCAGAGAUAAAGAGAUGAGAUGAUGAUGAUGCCAGUUAUGGUGAAUCCAGUAAAGAAUCUCAGCACUGCAAACAUGAUGAAGGAUGAGGAAAAAGCGCUGGCCACUGCAAAACCCAUUCCUGAAACAUACGACACCAGCAACAUCGGCUUACGCCCAAAUCUACAUAGAGAACAGAAGCUAUGAUUAAAAAAUGAUGGGCUUAAUUAAAAGAUAACACUGUCAAAAGUAUUGUUAAAGCAUGCAACAGAGGCAUCACCUGUCACUCAGACCUCCAAAAAAUACUGCUCCAAACAUCACUCCAACAAAGAAGAUGGUGGCAACUGCUUUAUUCAGCCCUCUAUUAUCACAUACCAGAUCCCACUUUGCAGAGAGAGAGAGAGACAGAGAACCUACUUUACAGACUGAUCAGACCAGAUAGUUAACUAAUAUACCACACCACCUUCACAUUCACAAACCAAUAGACAGCCAUUACAAAUGUUUUAUAUAAAUUUGUUUAUAUAAAACAGUCAGAUGCAGGGGAUAACCUGUAAUGCAGAAACAAUUCCUGAGGAACAUCAGCAGAUUAACAUCAAAGGAUAAAAGCAUCUUACCUGUGUGGCCAGAGUGCUGAUGAAUGUACUGUUAUCAUAC